UGCAAGUCUUUCUCUCUAUCAACAACAAACGGUCAAAGCUUAAGGUUCACUGACAGUUAUAAUCAACAUCCAGGUGCAACAACUUCAAACUUUUAUCAAAAAGUUGUGAAAUUCCAUCGAAAACCUUCCGUAUUACAAAUAGGAGUGGCGGUAACUACGUAAAACCUGUCGGAAUUUUAGUGUGGUGCAAAAUUUGAACGUUGAUUACAAUUUGGUGAUGUGUCAAAGCCCCUCAGGAUGUGACAAAUUCAAAAGUUUUUCCUGCUUAGAAAAUUGUGAAUAUUGUUCUGUGUUCUCAAAGUAUUUAUUCCAAAAAGAUUGAAGAUUGUUUAUAAUCGAGUGAUGUGUCAAUAUCUUAGGAUAUAUGUAGGAUGUAUUCCAAUAUCUUAGGAUACAUAAAAUUCGUAACUCAGUUCUCAUUGUUGAAUAAAAUUGCAAUACACAAGUGCAUUGAACAGUAUCUCAGAUGGAAUAUCUCUAUCAAGACUUGGAUGAUAUUUCGAAGGGGUUUUAAUUAUUAGUAUGACUUCAAUGGUGUAUCUUCUAAGACAAUUUUAUUGAGAGUGAUUAAUGUGAUAACGAGGGCUGACUUAUGUCAUGGAUUUGAAAUUAGGAUACUGCACUAGAAGGAUCUGAUAUCCAACAUGAGGAAUACCAACAUAGCGACAGCUGAUGACAAUACUUGUGGGUAAGAAAGUUUUACUUAUUAAAAAUAAGGUCAAUUAUCAAUGA